rnacentral:tRNA from 1 species
UGAAAUGUAGCUCUGUGGUAGCGCUUGCUCAGCAUGUGCAAGGUUAUGGGUUCCAUUCCCAGCAUUGCAA